UGACGCGCAGCCGUAAUGGUACGCGAACUGGGCCAAACUUCAUCCGCUUUCCCUCGGCGAAGUUCUCCAGAGUCCUCGCUGAAGCUGCGGCGCAUGCGCACGAUAAAUGCGCCUGCAAACGGCGUUGCCGCUGGAGAUGCUGCGGCUGACCAGGUUCCCGACCCGGUGGCGGCGACCUCCGGCGGCAGGGGUCCCCGCGAAGAACGUCGGCUUCAGGAAGGUGGCCUCCGGCGUCUCUUCCCUGGGCAGCGCCUCGCCCAGAUCCCUAAACAUAUUCGAUCGGGAUUUGAAGAGGAAACAGAAGAACUGGGCGGCCCGGCAGCCUGAGCGGAUAAAGUUUGACUACCUGAAGGAGGAGGUUGGAAGUCGGAUUGCAGACCGUAUAUAUGACAUAGCCAGAGAUUUCCCCCUUGCUUUGGAUGUCAGUUGUGGAAGAGGUUAUAUAGCACAACAUUUGAAUAAGGAAACUGUUGGAAAGUUUUUCCAAACAGACAUUGCAGAAAAUGCUUUGAAAAAUGCCUUAGAAAUGGAAAUUCCUACUGUCAGUGUUUUAGCUGAUGAAGAAUUUCUUCCCUUCAGAGAAAAUAUAUUUGAUCUGGUGGUUAGCAGUUUAAGUUUGCACUGGGUGAAUGACCUUCCUAGAGCACUUGAACAGAUUCAUUGUGUUUUAAAACCAGAUGGAGUGUUUAUUGGUGCAUUGUUUGGAGGUGACACUCUCUAUGAACUCCGGUGUUCAUUACAGUUAGCGGAAACAGAAAGGGAAGGAGGAUUUUCUCCACACGUCUCUCCUUUCACUGCUGUCAAUGACCUAGGACAUCUGCUCGGGAGAGCCGGCUUUAAUACGCUGACUGUGGACACUGAUGAAAUUCAAGUUAACUAUCCUGGAAUGUUUGAAUUGAUGGAAGAUUUACAAGGGAUGGGUGAGAGUAACUGUGCUUGGAAUAGAAAAGCCCUCCUGCACCGAGACACAAUGCUGGCGGCUGCAGCAGUGUACAGAGGUAAGGGAGCUGACCGUUCUUCCCAGCCAGGUCCCACUGACCAACUUGUGCCCUGUCAUCUUUAUCCCCUAAAAUUACAUUUUCCUUUCCUGUUAGGGCACCAUCAGAUUUCUUGUCCUUCCUUUCAAAACGCAGAUCCUGUGGCUACGUAUCCUUUUUCCCAGCAGCCCUUACUAUUUCCUUACUGUCAGCUUCUCGGUGUGGAGGAUUUUUCACAAGAGGCAUUCUCAGAAUCCCAUGAGUAUUCUAAUAUUCAUUUCUCUUUGGAAGACAUGACUUUCAUUGAGCAGAUUUAUUUUUCCUACUUGCAUUCUUUUCAGACUCUAACCAUGAUUUGUCUUUAUAGAAAUGUACGGAAAUGAGGAUGGUUCUGUACCUGCCACCUAUCAGAUCUAUUACAUGAUAGGAUGGAAAUAUCAUGAUUCACAGGCGAGACCAGCUAAAAGAGGUUCGGCAACUGUGUCAUUUGGAGAGCUAGGAAAAAUAAAUGAUCUUAUGUCCCAGGGGAAAAAAUCACAAUAAAUAUUUUAUUCAAUGUUAA